rnacentral:rRNA from 1 species
CCUACGGGGGGCAGCAGUGGGGGAUAUUGCACAAUGGGGGGAACCCUGAUGCAGCGACGCCGCGUGGGUGAAGGAGUGCUUCGGCAUGUAAAGCCCUAUCGGCAGGGAAGAAGCAAGACGGUACCUGACUAAGAAGCCCCGGCUAACUACGUGCCAGCAGCCGCGGUAAUACGUAGGGGGCGAGCGUUAUCCGGAUUUAUUGGGUUUAAAGGGAGCGUAGGCCGGCUUUUAAGUCAGCUGUGAAAGUCCGCGGCUCAACCGUGGAAUUGCAGUUGAAACUGGAGGCCUUGAGUGCACACAGGGAUGGCGGAAUUCAUGGUGUAGCGGUGAAAUGCUUAGAUAUCAUGAAGAACUCCGAUCGCGAAGGCAAGUGUCCGGGGUGCAACUGACGCUGAGGCUCGAAAGUGCGGGUAUCAAACAGGAUUAGAUACCCCAGUAGUC